CAGGGAAUCUUGCGCAAUGGGCGAAAGCCUGACGCAGCGACGCCGCGUGGGGGAUGAAGGCCUUCGGGUUGUAAACCCCUUUCAGGAGGGAAGAAAUUGACGGUACCUCCAAAAGAAGGACCGGCCAACUACGUGCCAGCAGCCGCGGUAAUACGUAGGGUCCUAGCGUUAUCCGGAAUCAUUGGGCGUAAAGAGCUCGUAGGCGGUUCAGCAAGUCGGCUGUGAAAGUCCGAGGCUCAACCUCGGAAUUGCAGUCGAUACUGCUGUGACUCGAAUUCGGUAGAGGAGAAUGGAAUUCCACGUGUAGCGGUGAAAUGCGCAGAUAUGUGGAGGAACACCAGUAGCGAAGGCGGUUCUCUGGGCCGAUAUUGACGCUGAGGAGCGAAAGCGUGGGGAGCAAACAGGAUUAGAUACCCCCGUAGUCC
rnacentral:rRNA from 1 species